UAUUAAAACAUGAGAUAAUAGAAUAAAAAAUCAAACAAAAAGUUAAAAAAAAAAUAAAAAAUUAUUGCAGUAGUAAUACCAUAGUUGUUAGAAUCGCGAUCCGAAUCGUAGGUUCGGAUAUUAUAAAUCAAUUCGGAUCGAAGCUAAAGUUGCAAAUGAGCCAGGAUCGUAGUGGGAUAGUGUGGAAUCGGUGGGAUCGCGAUCCCAAUACAAUCCUAAGUAAAGACUCUUAAAUAGAGCCCAAAACAUACAAUCUUUAUUUUAAGGCCCAAAAUAAUUACCUCAAAAGAUUAAACGUUUCUCCUUUCUCUGUUUGAAGCCCUAACACUCCCUGAAACGCAGCUCUUGGUAGAUCUUUGCUCGAAUCAAAGCUCAAAAUUGAAGCUCAAGUAGUCAAAUUGCAUGCUAUUAUCAAUUAUAUACAAGGUAAACCAAAUUUAAACUAUGUCAAGUUCUACAAAAAAAAAAAGGAAAAAUGCUCCUGGAAAUAAAUUAGACCUGGGUUGAGAACAUGGAACCGAGGUGGAUAAAGCUGCUAAGAAAGUGCGGUGUAAUUAUUGUGGUAUUGUGCGAUCUGGUGGUAUCUUCAGGAUAAAACAUCACAUAGCUGGCACUCACUCUAAUGUUGAGCAAAUUAGAACUAUUUUACGUCAAAAUGAACUAGAAGCAGCAAAGAAGAAAAGAAAAUAUACUGAUAUUGGUGAUGAUGAUGAGUACAAUCUUGAAGUGAACCAUGAAGGACAAGCUUCUUAUCGAAAGGGUAAGGGACUCAUGGAUACUUUUGUGACUGCAAAGAGGAGUUCAAUACAAACAACACUAAGCCAAAAAUAUAAAAGAGAAGAAAGGGAAGAAGUAUGCCAACAAAUAGCAAGGUUUUUUUUUUUUUAUACUAGUGCCAUCUCUCUUAAUGCUGUAAAUAAUCCAGAAUUUCCUUUGAUGGUUGAAAAGAUUGCUAAAUAUGGAAUUGGAUUGAAGCCACCAAGUUAUCAUGAAAUUAGGGUGAAGUGUUUGAACAAGGAAGUAGCUAGUGUAAUGGGUAUGCUUGAGGAGUUUAAAUCUGAAUGGAAGAAAACAGGUUGCACUAUUAUGUCAGAUGGAUGGAGUGAUACAAAAAAAAAGAUCAAUUUGCAAUUUUUUGGUGAAUAGCCCUAAAGGUACUGUUUUCUUAUCUUCUGUUGACACAUCAGAUAUCUCUAAAACUACAGAUAAAGUGUUUGAAAUGCUAGAUGCUGUGGUAGAAAAAGUAGGGGAGGAAAAUAUUGUACAAGUUGUUACAGAUAAUGCAUGCCGGAGAAAUGUUAAUGGAAAAAAGGACUAAAUUUUUUUGGACACCUUAGUGCUGCACAUUGCAUUGAUUUAAUGCUAGAGGAUUUAGAUAAGAAAAUCAGAGUACAUAAUGUAACAAUUUCAAAAGGUAGGAGGAUAACCACUUUCAUAUAUUCUCGAACAAUGGUGCACACUUGGCUGAAGGAGUUCACAAAAGAAAGAAAGUUAAUAAGGCCUGAUAUUACUCGAUUUGCAACAUCUUACUUGACAUUAAGAUGUCUAAAUGAGCAAAAAGGACCAUUGAUAGCAAUGUUCACGUCUUCUAAGUGGAGAACAAGUAGGUUUGCUAAAUCUGUGGAAGGAAAGAAGGUUCAACGUAUAGUUUUGGAUACUCGUGGGUUUUGGCAUGGUGUAAUAACAUGCUUGAAAGAUGAACCAGCCAUGGGAUUCAUCUAUGAAGCAAUGGAGCAAGCCAAAAUUCAAAUCAAGGAAAAUUUAAACAAUGUGUAGAGAAAUUAUACACCUGAGUUGGAUAUUGUCGUUGAGCGAUGGGAGGCUCAACUCCAUAGGCUACUGCAUGCUGCUGGUUACUAUCUGAACCCACAAAUUCAUUUCAAACCAAACUUCAAACCCAAUGCAGACAUCAAAAUUGGCUUGUAUAUUUGUUUACAAAGAAUGGUCCAUGACCCCAAUGAACGAGUAAUGAUUGAUUUGUAACUUGAUUCCUUUCAUAAUGCACGAGGUUUAUUUGGAUUGCCUACUACUGUGAUGACCAAAGAUAAAAAGUCACCAGGUUCAUUCAUCAACUUUUUUUUUUUUUUUUUUCCUUUUCUAGUUCUUAAUGUUAAUGAUUUACUACUGAGUUUUAUAUUUUGCAUUCUGGUUGUUAUAUAUACUUGUACAGCUAAUUGGUGGGAUUCAUAUGGAGAUGAAUGCCCAGAAUUUAAAAAAUUUGCUACUCGAAUUUUGAGCUUAACUUGUAGCUCCUCUGGUUGUAACAACGAUCAUAUAUGAGCAAAAGUGUUUUUUUAAACAA